rnacentral:lncRNA from 1 species
GAACGAGCUAGACCCAGGUGCUGCUGGGAGUGGAAUGAGCUAGACCCAGGUGCUGCUGGGAGUGGAACGAGCAUUGUAAAUGGCGAGCGGUGGUUACAGAAGCCUCUGUCCUUCCACGCCGAGAGAAGUCCCACUGAAAAAUGACUGCAGUGUGCCACAGGAGAUGGAGGGGAUUUCCCCAGCUGAACUGGAGCAGGUCUGGGUUGAUCCAGAGACAGGGCAUCAGGGUCUCCUGCGAUGCCCAGUUCAGGAGCAGCCACACUAAGCAACAGCUUCUCAUGUGAGAGGCAGAGCUCCAGGACUCUGCUGCGACGGUGAUCUCAUCUGGAGUCUUUAAGUUCGCACUGUAACCGAGCACAGACCUGGCCGCUCGCAGCUUGCACAGCUGGUAACAAGGAUGAAGUACAGGGAUAGGAAAGUGACUGUAUUCGAGCUAGCAGUGGGAAAGUAGCCAGUUUACACAUCCAGAAACGGCUUCAAACUUUAGGCUUGGAAGAGGUUAUUCAAAGCGGGACCUUGGAAUGGGAGGCAUGCUGGCGUGGUGCUGAGUACAAAGUCUGUGUGUCCUGUUACCACUGUAACAGGAGCUGUGGUCCACCUGGGGCCCCAACUGGCAUCAUCUCAACAUCUCAUAUAUUGCGGGUGGGAAUGCAAAAUGAUGCAGCCACUCUGGAAAAUAGUUUGGACAUUUUUUAUAAAACUACCGUGUGAUCCACCAAUGGCAAUCCUGGGCAAGUAUCCCAGAAAAAUGAAAAUUGAUGUUCACGCAAAAAUCUGUACAUAAAUGUUUAUAGCAUCUUUUAUUCAUGACAGCCUAAAACUGCAAACUAUCCAGAUGUCCUUUAAUAUGUGAAUAGCUAAACAAACUGUGGUACACUCAUACUGUGAAUGCUACAUGGCCAUCAAAAGGAACAAACCAGUAUUCCAUGCACCUUCCUGGAUGAAUCUCUAGGGAAUUAUGCUCAAUGAAAAAAGUUAAUCCUGAAAGGUCUCCUAUUGUAUGAUUCCAUUUUCAUAACAUUCUAGAAACCAAAACUAUAAAAUGAAGAGAAAGUUAGUGGAUGACAGGGGCCAAGGAAUAAAGGCAGGGAGAGGAAGGGAACUGGGUGUAGUGGUAGAAAGACAACAUGAGAGAUCCUUGUGGUAAACAAAUGAUUCCAUAUCUUGAUGGUGUCAAUGUCAAUGUCCUGGUUGUGAUACUGUACUAUAGUUUUGGAAGAUGUUAACACUGGGGAAAACUGGAUAUUGAUGACAUUGAUGGUAAAGAGUGCACGUGCUAUUUCUGAAUUAUUUCUUACAACUGCAUGUGAAUCUACAAAUAUCCCAGAAUAAAUAAUUUUUAAAGCAAUAUUGUAUUGGUAUGGUAAAACAAAUAGACUAAUGGAAUCAAAUAGAGACUCCACAUAUAAACCCUAUUAGGUUUGUUACCUCAGAAGCGGACCACAAAACAA